rnacentral:rRNA from 1 species
AAGUCGUAACAAGGUCUCCGUUGGUGAACCAGCGGAGGGAUCAUUACCGAGUUUACAACUCCCAAACCCAUGUGAACAUACCUAUUGUUGCUUCGGCGGGAUUGCCCCGGGCGCCUCGUGUGCCCCGGAUCCGGCGCCCGCCUAGGAACUUUAACUCUUGUUUUAUUUUGAAUCUUCUGAGUAGUUUUUACAAAUAAAUAAAAACUUUCAACAACGGAUCUCUUGGUUCUGGCAUCGAUGAAGAACGCAGCGAAAUGCGAUAAGUAAUGUGAAUUGCAGAAUUCAGUGAAUCAUCGAAUCUUUGAACGCACAUUGCGCCCGCCAGUAUUCUGGCGGGCAUGCCUGUCUGAGCGUCAUUUCAACCCUCAUGCCCCUAGGGCGUGGUGUUGGGGAUCGGCCAAAGCCCGCGAGGGACGGCCGGCCCCUAAAUCUAGUGGCGGACCCGUCGUGGCCUCCUCUGCGAAGUAGUGAUAUUCCGCAUCGGAGAGCGACGAGCCCCUGCCGUUAAACCCCCAACUUUCCAAGGUUGACCUCAGAUCAGGUAGGAAUACCCGCUGAACUUAAGCAUAUCAAUAAGCGGAGGAAAAGAAACCAACAGGGAUUGCCCUAGUAACGGCGAGUGAAGCGGCAACAGCUCAAAUUUGAAAUCUGGCGCAAGCCCGAGUUGUAAUUUGUAGAGGAUGUUUCUGGCGACGUGCCUUCCGAGUUCCCUGGAACGGGACGCCAUAGAGGGUGAGAGCCCCGUACGGUUGGAUGCCUAGCCUCUGUGAAACUCCUUCGACGAGUCGAGUAGUUUGGGAAUGCUGCUCUAAAUGGGAGGUAUACGUCUUCUAAAGCUAAAUACCGGCCAGAGACCGAUAGCGCACAAGUAGAGUGAUCGAAAGAUGAAAAGCACUUUGAAAAGAGGGUUAAAAAGUACGUGAAAUUGUUGAAAGGGAAGCGUUCAUGACCAGACUUGAGCAGGUUGAUCAUCCGUGGUUCUCCGCGGUGCACUCUGCCUGCUCAGGCCAGCAUCAGUUCGUUCCGGGGGAUAAAGGCUCUGGGAAUGUGGCUCCCUCGGGAGUGUUAUAGCCCACUGCGUAAUACCCUGGGAUGGACUGAGGUUCGCGCUCUGCAAGGAUGCUGGCGUAAUGGUCAUCAACGACC